rnacentral:rRNA from 1 species
UACGUAGGGUGCAAGCGUUAAUCGGAAUUACUGGGCGUAAAGCGUGCGCAGGCGGUGAUGUAAGACAGGUGUGAAAUCCCCGGGCUUAACCUGGGAACUGCAUUUGUGACUGCAUCGCUGGAGUGCGGCAGAGGGAGAUGGAAUUCCGCGUGUAGCAGUGAAAUGCGUAGAGAUGUGGAGGAACACCGAUGGCGAAGGCAGCCCCCUGGGCUGAGAUUGACGCUCAGGCACGAAAGCGUGGGGAGCAAACAGGG